rnacentral:rRNA from 1 species
GAUGAACGCUGGCGGCGUGCCUAAUACAUGCAAGUCGAGCGAAUGGAUUAAGAGCUUGCUCUUAUGAAGUUAGCGGCGGACGGGUGAGUAACACGUAGGCAACCUGCCCAUAAGACUGGGAUAACUCCGGGAAACCGGGGCUAAUACCGGAUAACAUUUUGAACCGCAUGGUUCGAAAUUGAAAGGCGGCUUCGGCUGUCACUUAUGGAUGGACCCGCGUCGCAUUAGCUAGUUGGUGAGGUAACGGCUCACCAAGGCAACGAUGCGUAGCCGACCUGAGAGGGUGAUCGGCCACACUGGGACUGAGACACGGCCCAGACUCCUACGGGAGGCAGCAGUAGGGAAUCUUCCGCAAUGGACGAAAGUCUGACGGAGCAACGCCGCGUGAGUGGUGAAGGCUUUCGGGUCGUAAAACUCUGUUGUUAGGGAAGAACAAGUGCUAGUUGAAUAAGCUGGCACCUUGACGGUACCUAACCAGAAAGCCACGGCUAACUACGUGCCAGCAGCCGCGGUAA